GUAUUCUGCACGGACUGCUGGGCAGCACUAGCACUCUGGAGAAGGUCUGCCGCUGUCUGCACUUUCCUGGUUCUAUGCAGGCAGAUGAGUGUCACAGCUGUAACUGAGGCACAGAGCAGUACACACAGUGGAGCCGAUUUCCGCGAUGGCGAGAGGGGGCACCGGAGGUGACAACAAUAACAAGACUGUCCUUCGGACAAGUUUUAGGAAGAAUGACUUGGGCAAUACCAAAUGUUGAGUUAUCAAGUAUUUCGAUACCCAUAUGCAUCAUCUGCUGUAAGUAUUCUCAGGAUGAUGGAGUGAGUGAUGGAAUAGGUUGCCAACUGUAGUUACUCCACUCAGCACAGAAUGGCUGCGGGGAAAUAUAAUCAGACAUGCCCAAAGAAGUCUGCUUAGGGUGAAACAAAUACCUUUGAGGUUUAAAUCAGAAAGGAAGGAGAGACUGUUUCUACAGGUGUCAUACAAAAAUCAAUACUGAGCCAAGGAUUAUUGGAUCCCAUAGAACCACGGAGACUUGGUAGUGAAAUUCUUCCAAAGCAUUCCAUCCGUGCAGGCAGAUGGUGUUCCUAGGUUUGGAAAUAUAAAUCCCAUGGGAAGUCAGCUGAAGACCAUUUUAUGCAUCACUCAUCCUGUUAGAGCCCUGUGCUGUUCUGUCUCUCUAUAAGACUGGCUGAAACCACCACGGUUGUUUACAAUUUAUGCUCUAACUUUGGAUCACCUAGUUAAUACUCUAACUCCGAUUAUUACCAAAGACAAUGUUCUAUAAAAGAUAUUGUCUAUUAGAAGGAUGCUUCUGCAUUAUUAAUAAAAUCACAGGGAAAAUGCAACAUUUUGGAUGUCACAUCUGAUAAGUUGGCAGUUAAAGAACAGAAACAGCAAUAAGACUGCGUGGCUACAUUUUCCCAGUGCCACCAACUGGGAUUUAAGCUGACUAACAUUUUGAAAGCCCAGCCCAUUUCAUUCACAGCAGGAUGGCAGUGGGUGACUGAUCGUACCCGCCAGCUGGCUAAUGUCAUAAUUAACAAAGUUGCUACUACAUCUGCAAAGUUUAAUCGAAAAAUUUGCCAGUGAUAUGAUGGCCUUGUCACAGAGAUCACAAGGGACACGGAGUUGACUUUUGCUCAAGGUGGAACGACAGAGCUGUGUAGGCAAGAUGAGAAAUUGCGAACUUGUUCGGCCAAAGGAUUAUCUCCUGAGAUGUGUAGAAAUGAACUCUUGUCAGAGUUUCAAAGGAAUUAACGUUUUUUGGUAAAAUGUGCUAAUGUAAAGAGUGAGAAGAUUAGUGAUACAUAAUGAAAGCAAUGCAUUCUUUCACAUGGAAAUGGGAAUAUAAUAAAUGUCCUGCAGGUGAUUGGGGCUGUAGCAAUUUUAUUGAAGAUUAAAGUUUGAUUGACCUUUGUUAGGGUGAUUAACCCUUCUGAAAUUAAAAGCCAGAGCUGAAUUAUUCUGCUCAAUUUAAAUGCAAACAUCGAGCAGGUCGUAUGUCAUUCAAAUAAUAAUAAGAAGAAAAUCUUCCUAUUUUAAUUUUCAUUUUUGCACUUCUGAGUGGUAUGCUGCUUUAGAAGGACCAUAGCUCUCGCAAAAGCAUUCUGGUGGCAGAGAAUAUACAAUAACGUUACAGAUAAUUGGGAGCAUAUAGGAAGAGUCCCAAGCACUACUGCCUGCAUUCGAAACAUCAAAACCACCAUCCCAACAAAAGCACGGAGCAUGAAGCCAAUCUCUGUACACUGAAAAUGCAUGCUCCCAAUAGAAAAACAACCUAGGGAUGUCCUGAAGGGGUUAGGAAUAAAUAACAAUGACAUCUCUAUUCUAGUUCAGUGCCAACCACCGAAAUUGCAUAUCAUAUCCAUGUUAAAUCUACAUGAUGUCUCCUGGAAAUGCGUGCUUUUUGGUACAGUUGCUUAUGAAGCAGUUUCUAAAAGUUGAUUAUUUCUGAUGUCUGGAAUUUCAUUCUCCAUGAUCUCUGGCAGUUUCUGAAUAUAUUCAGUAUUUUCAUUAAGUUCAAAAAUGCUGUAGGAGAAGCUAACGAAUUAUUUGCAAUGCCAUUUAAUGGUUUAGUUUUAUUUUUCUCUGUUAAAUUUUCUAAGCCUUGGUGAAAAGUUGUGUAUUCACAUUUCUUCAAAAAACUGUUUCCAUUUUUCAUAUCAUGUUAAUUUUGUUUAGUUCUAAGUCAGUGAAUAUUUUUAGUCUUAGGUCCCACCACAUAGUGAAUGUGUCUGCCUUUUAUGUAUCUGUGAACUAUUAAAAUGAUAAUAAAGGUUCUCUUCCUUCCA
rnacentral:lncRNA from 1 species